rnacentral:rRNA from 1 species
GAACGAACGCUGGCGGCAGGCCUAACACAUGCAAGUCGAACGCCGUAGCAAUACGGAGUGGCAGACGGGUGAGUAACACGUGGGAACGUACCUUUCGGUUCGGAAUAACUCAGGGAAACUUGAGCUAAUACCGGAUACGUGCGAGAGCAGAAAGAUUUAUCGCCGAAAGAUCGGCCCGCGUCCGAUUAGCUUGUUGGUGAGGUAACGGCUCACCAAGGCGACGAUCGGUAGCUGGUCUGAGAGGAUGAUCAGCCACACUGGGACUGAGACACGGCCCAGACUCCUACGGGAGGCAGCAGUGGGGAAUAUUGGACAAUGGGGGCAACCCUGAUCCAGCCAUGCCGCGUGUGUGAAGAAGGCCUUCGGGUUGUAAAGCACUUUAAGCGGGGAGGAAGGCCUGAUGGCUAAUAUCCAUCAGGAUUGACGUUACCCGCAGAAUAAGCACCGGCAAACUUCGUG